GUGCUGGCUUCGGCGGCUGCACACAUGCUAAAAUUGGAGCAAUACAGAGGUUAGCAUGGCCCCUGCACAAGGAUGACAUGCAAAUUUGUGAAGUGUUCCGUAUUUUU
ensembl:snRNA U6 U6 spliceosomal RNA